UAGGGAAUCUUCGGCAAUGGGGGCAACCCUGACCGAGCAACGCCGCGUGAGUGAAGAAGGUUUUCGGAUCGUAAAGCUCUGUUGUAAGAGAAGAACGUGUGUGAGAGUGGAAAGUUCACACAGUGACGGUAGCUUACCAGAAAGGGACGGCUAACUACGUACCAG
rnacentral:rRNA from 1 species